rnacentral:rRNA from 1 species
UACGUAGGUGGCAAGCGUUGUCCGGAUUUAUUGGGUUUAAAGGGUGCGUAGGCGGUCAAUUAAGUCAGUGGUGAAAUACGGCAGCUCAACUGUCGAGGUGCCAUUGAUACUGGUUGACUUGAGUACUGAUGAGGUAGGCGGAAUGGACGGUGUAGCGGUGAAAUGCUUAGAGAUCGUCCAGAACACCGAUAGCGAAGGCAGCUUACUAAGGAGUAACUGACGCUGAGGCACGAAAGUGUGGGGAUCAAACAGG